UGUUUCCUAUGGAUGUCACUGCUGCAAAGAGCUGUGUUAUCUGUUGUCACUUCCCUGCAGCCCCUCACUUCUGUACUCUAUGGUGCUGCACCCCCCAGUCAUUACAGAUCCUCGUGUAUCUACAGCCUGCUCUCAAACAAGCCUUGGAGUACUCCACCCUCCUGGAACAAUGAGGACUUUAAGAGAAAAUGAGGAGACAACACAUCUUAGGAUUUGAAUCAGACAACUGCAACAGCAAGUUUGACCAAGGGUGAGUGAAGACACACGUGUAAAGGGAAUGAUCACAACUUUUAGUUGGCUCUGAUGUUGUCUUUAGCUGAUGCCAAAGGAAAGAUUUGGAAAAAGGAACAUGACUUAUUUGAUGCCUGGUUAGUGUUUACAUAUUCUGUUCAAGCUUUACCAUGUCCUCUGUGGUUUCCUUCAGGGAGAGCAUUUUGUAAGCUCGUCUUUUCUGGUUUCCCUGCUGAUCAGGCACAUUUGUUCUUUGUGAAGCUGUGAAACUGAAGAAAAGGAAACCUUCAGCAUUAAGCAGGAGGAUCAGUUUGAGUGAGUAGCUCCCUGUGGCAGAAGAUUAUGUGAAUGCCGAUGCUGCUCUUAGCACUGAGGCAUAUCAUGCCUGUUUAUCAUUCUGCUCACACAAUUGCUUUGAAAGCUUAAUAAUAUUAAAGCUUUAUUAACACAACUGCGUUUCUUUCAUUUCAGCCAGAUACAAUAUUUAUCCGUGGGGGAUCACAGUAUCACAGUAUCACAGUCUUGUGCGGGUUGGAAGGGACCUUAGAGAUCAUCGAGUUAUUACUAGUAUUACUAGGAUUACUAUGUCUUUUGCUUUAUACUUUACUAUCAAUUUUUUUCCAGUGCGAGAAGAUUUGCCAAAUGGAGAACUUCUAUGUAAAAGAAUAACUUAAUAUGAAAGGUGAAUUAAGCUGGUGGAAAAGCAUUGGCAUCAAAAGUAGCCAACAGAGGUGUGAUCUAGUCCUUUUCUGCACUGUUUUGUUGUUGUCUUAAUGUGAUCUCUUCUCUGAAUGUCUAUCCUUCUGCUUGUCUGUUUGCAGUGUAAACAUUUGGAUGUGUGGAUCAUCAUUGCAGUGUGAUUAUCUGACACAGUUAGGUCUCAGACAAGAUCACUAAGCCUGGUAGAAUGCAAAUGAUUGUUAAUAACAGCAAUCUUAGAACAUUGCACAAACAGUAGAACUAUGUUUUGCAGCUCUGUUAUGAUACACAGCGGAAAAUCACUUGUUUUACUGGUUAUUAAAUCAACAGACAACUAACUGCUUUGCCUGAGAUGACAGGAAGGCUGUGGAUUAUGUGGAGGAACUAAGCAGCAGCUAAACCUCCAGGCUCCCAAGUUUGUCCCCGGAUACUUCCUCCAGCCACUUCAAUCCAAAAGCUGUGAUAUCAGAAGAUGUAACCCAUCUCAAGAAUGGAGAGUGCAGUCAUUGCUGUGGGUGUGAAUUUGUUGUUCAUCUGCUGCUGCACGGCUAUUCUUGGCCUUAAAAUUGAGCAAUAGCUUUGCUGUUUGCUCUGGACCAGAGCUCCAUCUGAGCCAAGUGGAGCUUUGAAAGUUUUCACGAGGGUAAGCUGAGGGCACUGACUAUCAGGAGAUUUUUCUUUCCUCACUAAAAAUCCAGGCAUCAACUUUCAAUACAAAUAAUAAGAGGUAACUUGAAGGAUGACAUUAAGACACCGGAUCUUUGAAACAGCUUUCUAUGCCAAGCCCGCCACUUCUCAAUUAUUCUGUUUCUACUUCAUGAGUUCCAGCCUGUUGAGAGGUGCCAUGUUAAAGUCUCUGAAGCCUGAACUUCCGUGUCACCUUUAAUUGAAGGUUGGUCCGGGGUCAGAUUCAGCCAGAGCCUAACUACAGACAAUUGCUAAUUUCCUGUAAUGCCACAAGUUCCCUGGAACUGAAGCUUCUGUUACACACACAUUUCUCCUACCUGCUCUGAUUUCUACCCCUCAGGACUUCAAAAAACGAUUCACUAUGGUGCUGAAUUGAGUCUUCAGCAAUCUUAGGAAAAUAGUUCUGAUAAACAACAGGUACAUUUCUUCUCAGUAGGCAGUAUUUUCGAACUUAACAAACAAAGUCACUUCGUUUUAACUGGAAUUUCUUUGAGGAUUUGGACACAGGAAGACUGGAACACUGUAUAGGAAG